rnacentral:tRNA from 1 species
GCCCUCGUGGCACAAUUGGUUAGCGCGUGAGACUUUUAUAUGCUCGUCAUGAGUAUCAAGAGUAUCUCAAGGCUGUGAGUUCGAGCCUCACCGAGGGCG